UCAAUAACUAGAAUUUGCUUGCUUUUGUACAAUAAUUUUCACUUUAUUUCAAGAUACACAAUCGAUACCCUCUUACAAUAUUUGCGUUCGUUAUUAACAUUUCUAGAGCCAAUCGAACUGCUCGAUCCAUUUCGGAUUUCAAGAUCUUCGAGCUCGCAGAGCUAAUGUAGAUUUUCGCUAAAUUAAAUUCAUACCCCCACUAUAUUUAUGGGUGCGUUCCGUUUUACGCAUCGAACGCAUGGUUCACAUCACGAAUGCGCAAUGCAUGUAUUCCAUUCCAUUUCUUUAAUGUGCAAAAUGCAUGCCGUGAAACGGAACAUAUGCAAUGCAAUCACUGCAAUCUAUGCGAAAUAACGAAGACUGCUAUUAACAUUAACGCGUGUGUAAACAUUUCGUUAGUAAUAAUGAAUUAUGACGAUAAUAGUAGUAGCGAUAAUAGUAGUAGUGAAGAAUCUGAUGAAUAUUCCGACAAUAUAAGUGAUGAAGAACAAGAUGAAUACAUUUUACAUUCCAAAUUAGAAAUUUUAUAUGCAGUAUUAAUGGUAGGUCAAACACGCGGAGAAGUAGUUUAUUCAGAAAAAAUAUCCGAUUAUAUUGAGCGUGUUAUUCCUGGAUAUUCCCAACAUGCAUUUAAAGAACAUUUUCGGUGAAUGUUUCCUGAAACGUUUGAGGAAGUGCUAUGAAUAAUCAGUCCAGAAAUUAAGGAUCAUCAAUAUUGAAAAAAUUAUUUCUAUAAAGAAAUAACUCCUUAUUGCCAUAUGAUUUAUGGCUACAUCUGAUUCUUAUAGAUCUGUUUCCACUAAAUUCGGAAUCGGAAAAGGAACGACGUUUAGAUCACUGCAGCGUGUAACAUAUGCAUUACAUUGUGUUGCUCCACGACUUAUUCAAUAGCCAAAAGAUUGUUAAAUUGCCACAAAAAUA